CCUACGGGGGGCUGCAGUAGGGAAUCUUCCACAAUGGGCGAAAGCCUGAUGGAGCAACGCCGCGUGGGUGAAGAAGGUCUUCGGAUCGUAAAACCCUGUUGUUAGAGAAGAAAGUGCGGGAGAGUAACUGUUCACGUGUCGACGGUAUCUAACCAGAAAGCCACGGCUAACUACGUGCCAGCAGCCGCGGUAAGACGUAGGUGGCAAGCGUUAUCCGGAUUUAUUGGGCGUAAAGGGAACGCAGGCGGUCUUUUAAGUCUGAUGUGAAAGCCUUCGGCUUAACCGGAGUAGUGCAUUUGAAACUGUGAGCCUUGCGUGCAGAAGAGGAGAGUGUCACUCCCUGUGUAGC
rnacentral:rRNA from 1 species